UACAAUACAAUUAUUAAUAAAUUUUUCAAACUAGGUUUCUUAUAUAAUAUCCAAACUGAAAUGGUUUCUAUUCCAUUAGAAAUUAUUUUACCUGAUAAUUAUAAAGAAAUCAUUUUAAAUAACUCAAACACUGACACUUCAAUGAUAACCCUAUUUCUCGUACAAGAAGGAUUUACUAGUUAUGCUAAUUUAAAUGAGAACCAUUUAAAAUUAAUUCUGCACAAUGAAGAACUCAGAUACGUAUCAACUUACUUAACAACGCCAAUAGAUAAUCAGGAAG